UGCUCCAUGGCUGAGUUGGUUACAGCGUCCGACUGUUAAGCAUCGCCUGAUAAUCGGAAGGUCGAGAGUUCGAGCCUCUCUGGAGCAG